GGUUGGUUCAGCAGCCAGCCAACACAGCGAGAAGCUGUAUAAGCGAGAGAUGGGUGGUGUUGGAUAGAUGAGGGCAUGGGCAGUUCCUGUCCUGGGGGAUGUUCUCUGAGCUUUGCUCCAAUAAAGGCCUGGGGCAGCACGAGCAUUUAGGGUGGUCAGCAGCUGUGGCCGGCCAAGUCAUAGAUGAUUUGAAAACGCCGCCAUCUGGGAGGUGAGGGAGCAUCGGAGCUAGGCUUUAAAUCCCCAAGUCCCCUAAAAACUCAGUCCUCAACUGGGACUUUCAGCAGUGCUUUGGUUCUGGGUGUUAUAGCAUGGCCAUGUGCCAGUGGGAUUACCUGGAAACUCAACACUCAAUAUUUCAGUACCAGAAUCCCCAGGGAGGCAGGGGAUUGUGCAGCUCACCUGGUUAAUCUGUCUGGGAGCUUACCCAUGACUUUCCAGCCUGAAGAUUUGUAUUACAUGACAAACAUUGUAGAGCAUUUACUUCUACCUUUUUGAAAAAAUGGUUAAAAUUCUCCUAGGAGGAAAAAAAAAACCAAAAAACAAAAAAAAAAAAAACUUUGGAAAAAAAGAUGGGAGGUUAAAAUUUCUCCAUGCUUAAAGAGGCUGCUGAGUUGACUGCAGCAGCGUAGUAUGAACGGCCUAGAAAAGGUGGCACCGACAAUAGUAAGAAAGUGAGGAUAAAGGAGACGAUCUGGUGCCUCACGUGGUAUGAACUGAUUUCACUGGAACUGUCUGGAUUUGCAUCAGCUUAAAGAUCUUACUCUUAGCCAUAUGGUAUAUGUGAAACUUCAAGAAUUCUGGCUGCUGAAGAGACAGGCCAUCUCAGGACACCCACGCCUCCUUCACCAACUUCUGCUCUCUGGUAUGCACAGGUGGAGGAAAGAAACGGGCAACUAACCAGUCCCCACAUGCCAUUAAGACAAUUAAGACAUGACAUUAAGGCAUUCCUAAGACAAGUGUUACUGGCUUCAAAAACUGUCCAGAAGUUUUCCUUAUGCAGGUGUUGCUUCACUUUUCACCUGUUUUUGCGUUCGCACCAGGCUGCAGCCUGCUAAGAGCAGCUCCCAGGGUUUCGGAGCUGUUUUUUUGCAGCCGUUUUAUUGUCCCAGCCAGGUGGAAGAGAUCAUCAACAUUUUUUAAUCAGCUUUGGAAGUGGGUGUAGUUGAUCCAAGAACAAAACACAUUCACCAACUGCUAAAUCCAAUCGUCUGUGGGUGACUGAUUACUUUAAGCUUUCCUAAUUGACUGACUGUGGGAUUUCUGUGAAGGAGUUAUUCUGGCACUCAGGAAGUCCACACAACUGUUUCAAUCCUGGGAAUAACUUGCAAGUUGUGUACUAAACUGUGUUUGACUUCAAUGGUGCUGAGUGUUUGAGCAAAGUACACAGGUGGGUGUGCCAGAGCUGUGCUGGAUUAGAGUGGGUGGUUUUCUCUUGUUAGUAACAAGUUGGGUGAUGAGAGGAGUAAGUCUGUGGAACCCUCCAGAAGAGCUCGAGGAGUCUUCCCCAGUACAAAGCUCCUGUGAUACCUCCCGGCAUGGUACUACACAAUGUAUCUGCAUCCAUCUACGUGUGUAAGAACCGUCUGCACACACACACGUGCACAGCACGAGCCUGAUGCUGGCCGCCCCGCGCCAGCUGCUCUCAGCCUCGCCCUGCCCACAGCCGCUGCCGCCAUGUGUGACGCUGCACAACUGAAAAUGAACCUGCCAGGUGCUGAAGUACCAUUUCCAUGGGCAAAUCAUUAUUCUAGGGCAAAUCAUUAAUGCCAACAUUGUUUGUUUUCAACGCAGUAGACGACUCCAGCUGGGGAUGGAUGUUCAUGGUGCACAGGGAUGUCUAGGGGUACGAUACACAGCAACUGCUGGAAGGCUGCUCAGAUCCAGGUGAAGGUGUAGGUCCACUUCUGCAGUCAUCACCCGCAGCUUUUGGAAGUCUCUGGUGAAGGACCUGGGACCAGGGCUCUCAGGGGAUCAAUGGAGAACAUCUUCAGACACAGUUCUGUACCUGUGGAGGGUUGUGCCAUGAGCAGUCAGAGCUCCUGGGAGCCUUCCCUGCGAAGCACUCUUCCUGGUUCAGCCUCACUUCUCUGAUAACAAUAUGAAAUAUCUUGGAAAAUUUUUAAUUAAGAUAAUUCCUUAGCUCUUCAAAAGAACGUACGUGAGUCACACCAAUCUGUCCCUGAGUUACAAGCUGGACUGAACAGUUUGGGUUGGGCUGGCAACUGAGUGAGAGGAACAGGGUGCCCAUGUAGCUGAGAAGGAAGAGAUGGAGAUGGGGGCCCUGGGGACACCUGCAAGAUCACACGUGUGAGCCGUGAGCUAUGGUGUUGGGAUUAUAAGGGGGAAAGAAGUCACUUGUGUUCCCCGUGCCCCAGAGAAACAAAGAUACAUAGCUCUAUUGCUAAUAUAUGUAAUGAACUACAGAGACAAAAAGUUCAGGGCUUGACUUCAGAAGCACAGGGGCUAUCUUUUUGAUAAAGUAUUGUGUGAUUGCUUUUCCUGUAGUUGCCCAUCAGGAAUCCUCUGGCUGCUUUGUUUUGUCCAGGGCAACUUGUGAGAGUGUGACUUCAGUCACAGAAGAGCUUGGUGGUGCUACAUGGAUAUUCGAUACUUUGCCGGGUAGAAAAUUACACGCUCCUACAUUCCUACAUUACAUUCCUACUAUUAUCAGCUAACAUUCCUGGAAAAAAAAAAAGAGAAAGUUGAAGACCCAUCUAUGAGCUUGUUGGGGGAAUUCAUCCCCUGACAUGAAAGCUCCUUUGUGCAGCUGUGGAGCUGGAUGUCUCAUGCAGUGCUAGGAGCUUUGCCUACUGUGUUAGAGGGUGACAGGUUCUUUUAGUUGUAACUUUUAUCAUUAUUUUUAAACAGUUUCUCAGCCGCUGCACCUUCAUGUCAUCUACCCUCAGGGUAUCUUUAAGUGAACCUUCUUGUGAGCCUGCAGUCCCUUUCUAAAGCAUAGAUGUAUUUUGGGCCAUGGAUGAAAUCUCUACACAUAACAAUUACAGAUAUGUUUGGUAACGUGAUUUAGCCAGGGCCACUUUUACUUGUUCAUCGGGCUAGUGUGAUUAAGGAGACAAGACAAACACACUGUUGACAUUGCAUCUUUCUGCUACCCUGACUUCAGCAACCUUAUUUUUGCCUCUAUCUUAGGUAAACACAAAUGGUUGCCUUCAGCACUGCCUUUGAAUAAGACCACCAAUGGUCCCUGCGCAUCUAGCCUGCAGAAAUCUAGCAUCUGUGCAUCCAACCUGCAUUCUGGCUGCAGAAAUUACCCAAGGUGUAUCCCAGCUUGGGAUACCAGCCAUGGUGGCAGUGCUCCUGGAUAGCCAGCAGCUGCCUGGGAGGGCAGAAGGAAGCCGUGAGGAUGGGGCUCCUGGUGGACUCUCAGAUACUUUUCUCCUCAGGCUGGGGAUUGCUGUUUCU